rnacentral:rRNA from 1 species
CCUACGGGUGGCUGCAGUCGAGGAUCUUCGGCAAUGGGCGCAAGCCUGACCGAGCGACGCCGCGUGUGCGAUGAAGGCCCUUCGGGUUGUAAAGCACUGUCGAGAGGGAGCAAGCCGCAAGGUUGAGCGACCUCUGGAGGAAGCACGGGCUAAGUUCGUGCCAGCAGCCGCGGUAAGACGAACCGUGCGAACGUUGUUCGGAAUCACUGGGCUUAAAGGGCGCGUAGGCGGGAUGGCAAGUCGGAGGUGAAAGCCCCCAGCUUAACUGGGGAAGUGCCCUCGAUACUGCCGUUCUCGAGAGAGGUAGGGGCGUGUGGAACUUCCGGUGGAGCGGUGAAAUGCGUAGAUAUCGGAAGGAACGCCGGUGGCGAAAGCGAUGCGCUGGACCUUUUCUGACGCUGAGGCGCGAAAGCUAGGGGAGCGAACGGGAUUAGAUACCCUAGUAGUC